AAAAACUGUUGCCAUGACCUUUGCUCUUGACUGGUCCACUUUUGCUUGGACUGAACCGUUUCCACCUCUUGGUAGCCAUUGCUUUGAUUGUGUUUUUGUCUUCAGCACAAUCUGGUAAAGCCAUGGUAAACUGGUAGAGCCAUGUUUCAUUUUCUGAUACAAUUCUUUGAAGAAAUGCUUCAGGAUCUUGAUCCCACUUAUUUAAAAUUGCCUUUGAAAGCUCUGCUCUUGUCUUCAGUUGAUCUGGAUGUAAUGGUUUUGGGACCCCUCAAGUGGAGAGUUUGCUCAAGUUUAAUUUUUUAGUCAGAAUUGUAUAAACUGAAUAAUUUGAGAGGUCUGUGGUGUUGGCUAUUGUUUCUGCUGUUAAUCAUUGGUCCUCCUCAAUUAGGGCAUGAACAAGAUUAAUUUUUUUCCUCACAAAUUGAUGUUGAUGGCCUGCCUCUGUGGGCUCCAUUGUCAACAUCAUCGUGUCCCUUCUUAAAAUGAGUUAUCCAUUUGCAAAUUGCUGAUUUCUUUGGGAUAUUUUCCCCAUAAACUUUUCAUAAAGCAUCAGUGAUUUCACCAUUCCUCCACUCAAGCUUCCACCAUAAGUUUGAUGUUUGUUCUUAGUUCAAUUUUAGCACAAUUAAUGUUGCUCUGAUAGGAGCUCUUUUCAAACUUCUGUCUUAUCCUUUUUAGUGCUUCAAACUAGAUCCUGUUCAACAUGUUAUAAAAGUUAUUAUAAGUUUAUUUUCUUGCAAGAAAGUUUUGAAAUCAACGCAUAGUUUUUUGGGGUUUUUGUUGCUGUUGUUGCUAUUGUUUGUUGUUUUUUGAGACAGGGUCUUGUUCUGUUGCCCAGGCUAGAGUGCGGUGGUGCAAGCAUGGCUCGCUGCAGCCUCAACCUCCUGGGCUCAAGUGAUCCUCCCACCUCUGCCUCCCAAUUGGCUGGGACUACAGUGCAUGUCACCACACUCAGCUAAUUUUUUAAUUUUUUUUUUUUUAGAGACGGUGGGGGGUCUCGCUUUGUUGAUCCAGGCUGGUCUUGAACUCUGGGCCUCAAGCAACCCUCCUACCUCAGCCUCCUGAGUAGCAAGGACUACAGGCUUCUAAAGAAUAGAGGCAAGGAUCUUCAGGGACCACUAGAGAAGAAAUUAUUAUUUGCUCUGGACUUAGUGAAACCUGGAAUCACAGACCUGAGGUCACUUGGAGAAGAAUGCCCAGGUGAGCACAAAUGUUUAAAGUUAAAAAGAUGAAGAUGGCCGAAUAGGAACAGCUCCGGUCUACAGCUCCCAU
rnacentral:lncRNA from 1 species